rnacentral:tRNA from 1 species
GCGAGCAUGGCGGAACUGGCAGACGCGCAGGAUUUAGGAUCCUGUGUCCGAGAGGAUGUGAGAGUUCGAGUCUCUCUGCUCGCA